AACCUACGGGAGGCAGCAGUUAAGAAUAUUCCGCAAUGGACGAAAGUCUGACGGAGCGACGCCGCGUGGAUGAAGAAUGCCGAAAGGUUGUAAAAUCCUUUUAAGCCUGAUGAAUAAGCACAGUAGGGAAUGAUUGUGCGGUGACCGUAGGGCUUGAAUAAGCACCGGCUAAUUACGUGCCAGCAGCCGCGGUAAUGGUU
rnacentral:rRNA from 1 species